AUUGAACGCUGGCGGCAUGCCUUACACAUGCAAGCCGAACGGUAACAGGUCUUCGGAUGCUGACGAGUGGCGAACGGGUGAGUAAUACAUCGGAACGUGCCUAGUAGUGGGGGAUAACGUAGCGAAAGUUACGCUAAUACCGCAUACGACCUGAGGGUGAAGGCAGGGGAUCGCAAGACCUUGCGUUAUACGAGCGGCCGAUGUCAGAUUAGCUAGUUGGUGAGGUAAAGGCUCACCAAGGCGACGAUCUGUAGCGGGUCUGAGAGGAUGAUCCGCCACACUGGGACUGAGACACGGCCCAGACUCCUACGGGAGGCAGCAGUGGGGAAUUUUGGACAAUGGGGGCAACCCUGAUCCAGCCAUGCCGCGUGAGUGAAGAAGGCCUUCGGGUUGUAAAGCUCUUUCGGCCGGGAAGAAAUCGCACAGGCUAAUACCCUGUGUGGAUGACGGUACCGGCAUAAGAAGCACCGGCUAACUACGUGCCAGCCGCCGCCGUAACAC
rnacentral:rRNA from 1 species